rnacentral:lncRNA from 1 species
AGCGAAUGCUCGAGCUCAGUCCUCGGGCACCCGCCCCGCCUGCAGCUCGCGACUCCUGGGCUCCCGCCGGCGCCCGACCUGGGCUCUGCCUCGGGAACGCGGGAGCCUGCGCUCCCGUGCGUGUGCAUGUGCGUGGGCCACUGCUGCCCCUGGGCGCGCACGAUUCGGGCGCUGAGCUCGUCCUGGCUUUUGGGCAGGUGUCCCGGGCACCGCUCGUGCUCUGCUCUCCCUCUCUCGCCCGGAUACCCAAGGCGCGAUUCCUGGACGCAGGCGGCUGGGUUCCGGUCGCUGCCGCAUUGUUUAUGGGGGUGCAGGCGUUUGCAGAGCAAAUGAAGAGCCGUCUGUGAUUUGGAAUUGUGGGUGUGCUGGAACACAUGGUUGCAUUCGAAUGAGUGCACCUGACAUUUGGAAGGCAGAGGCAUUGGAUUCCCCUGGAGCUGGAGUUACAGGCCAUUGUGAGCCACCUGACAUGGGUGCUGGAAACCAAACUCUGGUCCCCCUGGAAGAGGAAUAAGAGCUCGAAACUACUGACUCAUCUCUCCACUGUUUCAAGACUCACCCUCUUGCUUUCUGAAACGGAGACAAGGAAAGCAGGGCAGUUGUUGAGGGUUGACCCUCACAGUGCCCAGGUAAAUUCUUAGUGCAAAUGUUAGUCCCCUGUUGUUAAGGCCAUCCACACUAUCGGUGGCAUCGGGUUACCAUGGCAGCAGCAGGAAGUGGUCAUCAUACUUGACACUCGACUGUUCGCUUUCUUCUUGUUUGCAUAGCUCUAAGUUUACACUUCAGUCCAGUCUGUGCUUUGUUUAUAGGGGACUAAUGACAGCACUCUGUCAUGGAGUUGUGUCAUGAAGCAGUAGAGCCAUGGCUGGAGGUCACGGUGAGGGAUCGUGGCUAGCUUGCAGUAAAGUUCACUGCUACCACCACGGAUGCUCUUGGACCACACCUGGGGACCUGCUUCACUCCUCCUGGAUUUAUUGUCACGGAAAACAAUCCCUCCCUGUGUUUUUGACCAAGCUGGUGAAAUUAAAUUAGUUCAGAAGAGUUGAUAAGCAUGAGAACCAUGAAAUGCCUGGCAUUUUUAGUUUUAUAUCAAUUACUCCUUGCAUUUUAUGUUCAUGCUACCUGUGCUCUGCCUGCCUGGUCCUUGCUUAUCAUGGAGACUCACAGGAACAAAACUAAUAAAGGAGACAUUUUCAUGGGAAGGAGGUGUAGGAACGGGGAAUUCCUGCCUAUGUCAGCACGCUCAGCACCUAUGAGACUCAGAAAACAUCAGUCGAUAGCAAGAAUCAACCUAGAAUUCAGCGUUAAAGGGCACAUUGUGGAGAUAGUAGGAAAUCAAGGCCCUCCUGGAAUACAUUGAAAUAUAAGGUCUUUGGUGAAAGUGUUCUUCCUUUUCUAGUAACGAUGGCUGUCGUUCUAGAUGGGAGACAACUGAUGGGGUCACUCAGAGUGAGCUGUUUUUACAUAGGACGCUCAUGGCCCCUGAAAGGAAACAUUUCUGAGAUGGACUGGACUAUGGAACAUGAGGGUGGCGAGGAAUGCCAGAGUGUAGACGGAUACAAAACAACCUUUUACAGGACAGCUGACAUUUGUCCAGUUAGUGGAGCUGAUGUCUCCAUCACACUGACUGUGGGGUCUACAGUUGGUUUUGACUAUGGGAACAAGCAAUAGAGAUUAGGCAAAAGAUGUAGCCAAAAUUAAAGGCAUGUCUUCC